rnacentral:ncRNA from 1 species
UAAAAUACGAUGAAGGAGUCAAGUAGCCUGUUCCCGCUUUAACCAGAGAGGGGGUGCCGCUGGCUGGAAGCAUCCCUUUAAAUGGAGCAGUGCGAAUUUCCCUCCGGAGUAGCUUCUUGAACCUGCGGCGGGGGAAUUUUUACCGUAUGGGCGAAGCUGCAGUAAAUUCCUUCCGUUCCUGCAUGAAGUAGAGAACGCCGGCUCCCACCGUUAAAUGGGUAAGAGUGUACACGGGCGAAUCCGUGUAAAUAUAGGUGGUACCGCGGAGUGAUCCAAUGCUUCGUCCUAUUU